GGCUACUAAGGUCAGCCAGUCUUAAAAAACUGUGCUGUUUCUACAAAGCUUUAACUACAGUAGUUUUUAAGGAUGCCAACGAAAGCUGAGGGUGUAGAGCAAAAUAGUUCUAAGCUUCAGUUAAACUUCUUUAGCAUUGAUAUGAACCAUGGACAAGUAUAUUCUGCUGCCACAAAGACUGUAAAGUGCUUCAUUUCAACAGCUGAGGCAAGCCAAGUGAUCAUUAAUAAAGCUUUUCUUGGUUCCUUCAGUGGUGUUGGUAGUAAAAUGGAAGGUGUCUUGCUGCAGGUAACUAAUGAAGAAGUGGUCAACCACAGAGUCUUCAAGAAAUAAGAAAUUCUGUACCAUCUGAAAGUAGUUCUUGUUGGUGCCUUCAUUUUAAAA
ensembl:lncRNA